ensembl:lncRNA
UCCCUCUUCCUCCCCAUCCGACUUCUGUACUCUCACACUCUCGUGCUCCCCCCACCCUUCUUAAGAUUCAGGGGUACAGAAUAACUUACUUCUACAAUUUGAAGUACCCUUGGAAACGGAAGUUUAUCAUAAGUGUUUUGCUGUCUAUAAUUUUCUAGAAUUGCCUGAAUUUUAGUUGAUUUCUCUAUAAAGCUGUGGAGGCUUAGUAGUCUAUGGAGCUGUCUGUAUUUCUCUUUUACUCUGUUUCUUUGAUGUGUCUUGCAGUAUCUCUUUAUUUCUGGUCAUGAGUUCUUCACAUAGUUUGUUAGAUGAUUAUUCUUCUGUGCCUGACACUUGUGAGUUGUUUGAGAUAUGUGACGUUUCUGUGUGAGAACUGAUAAGCUCUUGAUCUGCUCCCCUAAAUUGCUCUUUUAGAGCCCAAACCCCAGGUUCAGGGUUGAGGGUUUGUAAUACAAAGAAAAACUUCCAUCACUACUGCCCUUAACACUUGCCUCUAUUCUGUCGUAUGUAGUGUUCUUAAUGUCCAAUGUUUGGUGUUAUCUGCAUUGUUUUUGUUUUUAAUUGUGGUUGUUCUGAUGUGUGAAAUUUAAGGAAAGAGCCAUUAAAAAAUUCCAAGCAGGGCAAUGCAAGUACAGCCAAAUAUUAGAGUUGAUGUGCAAUCUUAGGUCCUUUUAAAUCUGUUGUGAUAUAGGCAGUACUUUGAAUUGAAAAGUCUUCCUGGCCUAUUUUCCUCUACAUAUUUGUAAUUACUCUGGGGGCUUACUUGUUUUGGCAGUACUAAAAUCAAAGGAGCUGGUUCUUCUUUUCUCCCAGUUCUUUUCCUAUUAAAGAAGGCACCUACAAUUAGCUUGUUAGCUUUUGUUCAUAUACAUAAAAAAAUCAAUGAAUGUUUUUCUGUUAGCACAUUGAAGGUACCUUUGUUUUACAUAAAACCAGAUAUAUAUGAAAACCAGUGCCCUUCCAUUCUGUAUCUUGAGCUUGUAAAUGCCAGUAAUUUAGAGCUAGGACUUUUCCCCUCUUAACUCUAGGAGGUAGACUAUGUUAAUUAAAGGAUCGCUUAAAGAAGGCAGAUUUUUUUCACUAUUUGGGUUGUAUUAGAAAGAUUCCUCCUAUGGGGAAAAACUAGCAUUAUAAAUUUUCCAAACACUGAGGAAGAAAAUCCACUGUAUUAUGAACCCAGAAGGGUUUGUUGCACUUUUCCUGCUUUUUUUUAAGGCCUGGGUAACAAUAUCACCAUCUCUUUUUUACAAAAGGGCAAAUGAACUGCAAUUGAGAGAAGCUUUAUAGGUUCAGUGGUUAGUUGUACAACAUGAACCAUUUAGCCUCUUGCUUUCCAUGGGAAUUUGGGCUUACUAGGGAAAAAGCUGUUUGUUGUGCUAUUGUAAAAAUGUCAUAAAAUUAGCUUGACUUUGGAAGAUGGUAAAUUUAACUGAAUGUUCUGAAAUGCAGACUUGCAGAAUGUAUGUCUUUCAAAACAGGCUUUUUUUUUUCCUUGACAGUCCAAGUUUCAGCUCCUGUUUAAAGUUCUUUUAUUUUCUGGUUUAAAUUUUCCUUGUAUUUCCACCUGUAAUGUCAGUGGCAACACCAUACUUCACUUGUUAAUUUACUUUACCCUUAUUAUAUAAGAGCAAAUUGAGUUGAACUGAAUCUUCCUUGUUCUUAGUAACACUGUAUAAAUAAAAGUGGCUUCUCUGUACAAAAGGUUGCAAUGCCUCCUGAUGGAUAUAAUUUUGUGAUUGUAUUUAAGAUUAAAAGUUGAAUAAAUCACACCAGCUUCCUGAAAAUGCUCAUAAUGCAUCUUUUGGAAAACAAAAGUACAUGGCCUACCUUGUGCAUAUCUGCAUUAACAUGGCAAAGAUUGUAUGAAAUAUCUGUUUUUCAGAAAAUAAAGUCUUAAAAG